rnacentral:rRNA from 1 species
UACGGAGGGUGCAAGCGUUAUCCGGAAUCACUGGGGUUAAAGGGUGCGUAGGCGGUCAGAUAAGUCAGUUGUGAAAUACCCCGGCUUAACCGGCGGAACUGCGAUUGAUACUGUUUGACUUGAAUCAGGUUGAGGUAGGCGGAAUGUGGCAUGUAGCGGUGAAAUGCUUAGAUAUGCCAUAGAACACCGAUUGCGAAGGCAGCUUGCUGGACCUGUAUUGACGCUGAGGCACGAAAGCGUGGGGAGCAAACAGG